GGCAGGUUGAGCUCUGGUUUGGAGCCCAGAGAGACCAGAGGCUCUGAACUGCCAAACUUUGUGUGACAAAGGACAGAACCUCAGUGAUGGCAGCGAGGUGGAUGGACACUGAGAGACACAGCAAGAGCCCUGAACUGCCAGAUAUGAUGGAUAGCAAAGGACACCAAGGUCAGUGAUGCCAUCGAGAUGCAUGGACACAGAGACUCUCAGGAGCAGAAGAUUUGGGAGGAAAAGAAAGACUUGUGGGCUGGAAAUGUGAGGGGGGAAAGGUGGUAAAUAGGAGAGGACUAAAUGGUGGGAUAUGUUAGGUAAAAAAUAAGAAACAACAGGGGACAAAAAGACAGGAAAUGUGAGGGGGGAAAGAAUAGGAAAUGCCAGGGGAAACAAGAGGGGGGAAAAGGGCAGAAAACCUGAAGGGAAAAAUCAGCAGGAAAAUGAAGGGAAGAUGAAUGAAAAUGAGAGGGAAAAUGAGCAUGCAAUAGAAGGGGAGAAAAGGUGAAAAAUAUGAGGGGACAGAAGGGUGAGAACCAUAAGAGAAAAAGUGGUGGGAAAUGAGGGGGGAGAAAAGUGUUGCAGAAGAAAAGGUGCAAAACACCAGAAAGGGUGGUAA
rnacentral:lncRNA from 12 species